GAGUAAGAAAGUGAGUAGGAAACAUCAACAACACUUGACUCCCCUCUUUGUAAGUUAUUCAUGUAUUACUUUCACACCCCUCCUGCUUUUGUUGAUUUACGGCUUUGAAUAUGUAAUGGGGAAAAUGUUCUCUUAUUACUGAAUCAUGGAAACCUGGGCAGCAAGGCGACGAUUUUGCGCCCUGCUGCCUGUCCAGCUGGACCACAGGGAAGCUCGGGGCUACCAGGGAUAAAGAGCGACCAGUCCCAUUACCGCAGAUGAAAAUACAACAUGACAAAUGGCAGCAUGCUGGCUGCAAUCGAGAUUAAGAGUGCAAACAUGGCUGGCCAAUGGGGACAUUAGAAGAUGGAUCGGGUUACAGGUUUGACAGUGCUGUGGAAGGCUGACAAACACCAGGGACGAAGAAUAGCAGGCUACGUAGACACUCGCACAGAAGAAACGCAUUGUAUUGAUGAAGUGGAUGAGGUAUUUAUUCAAAGGAAAAUAAUUGAUGUUGAAGGGGCACUGAAUGAAAUCCUACAAUUAGGCGGCUACGAUUAGGAUUUCUUUGUUAGAUCAACAACAAAAAAUGUACAGGCAAAGUAAGUCUGUUGACAUCAACUGGUUUCAGCUUUCAGCAGAUGGCAGAUGGCAGUUGCACUUUGUGCAUGCAGUCCACUACUACAGUAGAAUCUUAGCCAAAAUGUCACCCCCAUUUAAUGACAGAGAGCAAUGGAUCUUAAAUGGGACGUUAACUCAAUGCAGAGGUAUGGGGUUGGGGUCCUCUUUAUGCAGACCUAGACUAUUAGAGUGUAAUUUUUAGAGAUCUUCUAAUCCAUCUUUAUGGCCAGUGUAUUUGAUAGGUCUGCGUUAGUUUAGGCCACUGAGCACAGACGUCAGUUCAACGUUUAGUUUUGAUUUACAUUUGGAUAAGUUGUCAAUGUGAAAUCAACCAAAAAUGUCUUCCUGUCAUUGGAUUUAGGUUCAAAGUUGGGUCAUAAAAACCAUGACAUUCCCUUACGUUGGUGACUUUUUGCAAAUCCAAUCAGUUUUCCACUUUGCUUCAAUGUCAUCACAUUGAAUUUUUUGGGUUAAAUGACACGGAAACCAUGAUGAUUCAACUGUUUUUUGCCCAGUGUGUGAAAAUGGAAGUAAACUUUAGGGGGAUAUUAUUUGCCUUGUUAGGGAGAAUGGAGGAGUGUGAUUCUAAUCUUCCAUAAACACUUCUGAAGGGUCUCCCUUCCUUCUGCUUGCCGAGAUAACAGCAUAGCAGCAUUGACCACUUGUUUAAGUACACGCCAGAUUCAUUCGAUUACAGAAGCUAAUGGCCCAUAGGGGAUCUAAACAAGUUUGCUCUGGAAAGCCAAUCACCCUGGAAAUGCAGUGAUUGUCCGCACUUCAGUGAAGCACCUUGAACCUUCUCCGACCAAAGCAGACCUGCAGGCGCACGUUGUUUCGUGUUAACUCUGUUUUUCAGAUUAUGGAGCAAAGGAAAUGGUAGCUAUCUGUAUGACGUGACAGAUAUCUCUAAGUAGCGCCAAAUUCCGCUUGCCUCGCAGACGAGCAGCGAAGAUCACGUUCUUUGUUCACGCGUUCGUUGGUGCGCAGGGUCAGGCAACCUGUUGAUUGCAAAUGAAAAGCCAGGCUCAUGUUGCAUAAGGUCAUUCUAUGUGACAGACCUGAUCAAAUUGAUUUGUAAAGAGUGCUAUGAAUGCUGAAAAAGUUGAAGUAUUCAGAGAUGUGCUUUAGUGUGCUACAGUACUUGGUCUGUAUUGUGAGUGUACAGAGCACAUUGCAGAUUGUUGAAGAUGUUGUGUGUUCAGGUGCUGCAACAAGCAAGAAGUAUAGUUCAAUUGGCAUGUUAGCAUUAGCAUGCAAAAUGCUGUAGGCUUUCGUAACUUGUUGGCCCUGAAGAUGAAUGACUACUCAAAUGUUUUGCUUGCUUUAGCAACAAUGCUAAACUGAUUAGCUGUAGGGGCAAGUACCCAUGAGGUGAGAACUUUCAUUUUUGCUUCACUACAUUUCUAAAGAAAAUUAUGUACUUUUUACUCCAUACAUUUUCCCUGACACCCAAAAGUACACGUUACACAUUUUGAAUGCAUAGAACAACAGGUAAAUGGUCUAAUUUACAUACUUAUCAAGAGAACAUCUCUGGUCAUCACUACUGCCUCUGAUCUGUCAGACUCACUAAACUCAUGAUUAAUUUGUAAAUUAUGUUUGAGUGUUGGAGAAUGGCCCUUGCAAUCUGUAAUUGCUUUAUAUAAGGAAUUUGAAAUUAUUUAUACUUUUACUUUUAAUUUUAGGAAUUAUAUUUUCUUUUGAUACUGGAGUAUAUUUAAAACCAAAUACUUUUAGACUUUUACUCCAUUCUAUUGUCACUUCUAGAUUAGACUACUGCAAAAUGCUCUACUUUCCGGCUACCCGGAUAAAGCACUAAAUAGAAGUCAGUUAGUGCAAAACACUGCUGCUAGAAUCUUGACUACAACCAAAACAUUUGAUCAUAUUACUCCAGUGCUAGCCUCCCUACACUGGCUUCCUGUUAAGGCUAGGACUCGUUUCAAGAUUUUACUGUUAACCUACAAAACCUACCUAUCUUUCCAAUUUGGUCCUGCCGUACAUACCUACAUGUACGCUACGAUCACAAGACGCAGGCUUCCUUAUUGUCCCUAGAAUUUCUAAGCAAACAGCUGGAGGCAGCGCUUUCUCCUAGAGCUCCAUUUUUAUGGAAUGGUCUGCCUAUCCAUGUGCGAGAUGCAGACUCUGUCUCGGCCUUUAAGUCUUUAUUGAAGACUCAUCUCUUUAGUAGGUCCUAUGAUUGAGUGUAGUAUGGCCCAGGGGUGUGAAGGUGAACGGAAAGGCACUGGAGCAACGAACCACCCUUGCUGUCUCUGCCUGGCCGGUUCCCCUCUCUUCACUGGUAUUUUCUGCCUCUAACCCUAUUACGGGGGCUGAGUCACUGGCUUACUGAUGCUCUUCCAUGUCGUCCCUAGGAGGGGUGCGUCACUUGAGUGGGUUGAGUCACUGACGUGAUCUUCCUGUCCGGGUUGGCGCCCCCCUCGGUUGGUGCCGUGGGGAGAUCUUUGUGGGCUAUACUCGGCCUUGUCUCAGGGUAGUAAGUUAGUGGUUUGAAGAUAUCCCUCUAGUGGUGUGGGGGCUGUGCUUUGGCAAAGUGGGUGGGGUUAUAUCCUGCCUGGUUGGCCCAAACCGGGGGUAUCGUCGGACAGGGCCACAGUUUCUCCCAACCCCUCCUGUCUCAGCCUCCAGUAUUUAUGCUGCAAUAGUUUGUGUCGGAGGGCUAGGAUCAGUCUGUUAUAUCUGGAGUAUUUAUCCUGUCUUAUCCGGUGUCCUGUGUAAGUUUAAGUAUCCUCCCUCUAACUAUUUCUGUCUUUCUCUCUUUUCUCUCUUCUCUCGGAGGACCUGAGCCCUGGGACCAUGCCUCAGGACUACCUGGCCUACUGACUCCUUGCUGUCCCCAGUCCACCUGCUGCCCCCAGUCCACCCCAGUCCACCUGCUGCUGCUCCAGUUGAACCUGUUCUGCCUGCGGCUAUGGAACCCUGACGUGCUACCUCGUCCCGGACCUCCUGUUUUGGACUCUCUCUCUCUACCGCACCUGCUGUCUCUGAAUGAUCGGCUAUGAAAAGCCAACUGACAUUUACUCUUGAGGUGCUGACCUGUUUCACCCUCUACAACCACUGUGAUUAUUAUUAUUUGACCCUGCUGGUCAUCUAUGAACAUUUGAACAUCUUGGCCAUGUUCUGUUAUAAUUUCCACCCGGCACAGCCAGAAGAGGACUGGCCACCCCUCAGAGCCUGGUUCCUCUCUAGGUUUCUUCCUAGGUUCCUGCCUUUCUAGUGAGUUUUUCCUAGCCACCGUGCUUCUACAUCUGCAUUGCUUGCUGUUUGGGGUUUUAGACUGGGAUUCUGUAUAGCACUUUGUGACAUAGGCUGAUGUAAAAAGGUCUUCAUGAAUACAAUUGAUUGAUACUGGGUGACUUUCACUUAUACUUGAGCAAUUUUCUACUAAGGUAUCUUUACUUUUACUCAAGUCCAAAAAUGUGAUACUUUUGCCAGCACUGCUCAUACCUUACAUUCCUCCUGUGACAUUGCCACAUCUGGAAACCGCCGAUGACGAUGAGAGGAACUAAUGCCUCAAUCAAGAAUUACAAUAAAAGACCGUAUUGUGAAAAUUGACAGGCAGGGACUUUCUUACCUUUCUUUAAACUUGACCUGAACUUUGCCAUCUGGGGUGGAUAGAAGGGGAGAACCGUCUGCUUUGACAGAGGACAGCGCCCAGUGCCGGUGUUGAGUUCGGUCUCAAGAGUGGAGGGGAUAACUAGGAAUGGCAGCCCGCUCGAGUUAAUGGCUUGGGGGUGUCACUCUUUGAGCCGGCUCACCCCGGUGACAUCAUCCCUCCAGACAUAUGCCAUGUUAGGCUGUUUAUAGAAUCAGUCAAUUCAUCUGCUGCAGCAGGAAUUAAUCCAAGGGGCUAGGAGGCAGACUAAACAUGUUGGUCGGUCUGUCUGUCUGUCAGUCACUAUCUCUCGUCCGGGGACAUGUUAUCCAUGGUGCAGGCCCGACCUGUGACAAGACGCCCACUUUGUCUCUCGGCUGGUCUUUUCUUUCUGGUGUGUUGAGUGUGUAUGCUUCUAUUCUUAUGUCGUUUUUAAAUGCACUUCCUUGCAAGGAAAUCCGUGAGAGAUUGAGCCGCUUAAUAUUUUUUUUGCCUCUAGGAUCUUGGUAAGUGAGCUUACAUUGUGAGCUCAUUGUAAUGUAGGCCUUGUUGAUGUACCCCUAUGGAUUUAAUUGUAGGUGAACAGUUCUCCUCUCUCAGCAUACCACCUUGCAUCCCGCUGCUGGCUUGUCGCUGAAGCUAAGCAGAAUCGGUCCUGGUAGGUCCCUGGAUGGGAGACCUGAUGCUGCUGAAUGUGUUGUUGGAGAGCCCGUAGGGGACACUCUUCCCUCUGGUCUUAAGAUUGAAUCCCAAUGCCCCAGGGCAGUAAAGGGGACACUGCCAUGCUCAGGGUGCAGCCUUUCGGAUGGGAUGUUAAACAGGCGUCCUGACUCUCUGUGGUCAAGAAUAGGGGUGUUUACCCAGGUGGGUGACACUCACUGAUGAGGUGAGGUUCCCCCUUUUUUUCCCACCCUUAUUUAACCAGGUCGGCCAGUUGAGAACAAGUUCUCAUUUACAACUGCGACCUGGCCAAGCUAAAGCAAAGCAGUGCGACAACAAACAAUAACACAGAGUUACACAUGGGAUAAACAAACGCACAAUCAAUAACACAACAGAAAGAAAUCUAUAUACAUAUGUAUGCAAAUUGGGUAAGAUUAGGGAGGUAAGGCAAUAAAUAGGCCUUAGUGGUGAAGUAAUUACAAUUGAGCAAUUAAACACUGGAGUGAUAGAUGUGCAGAAGAUGAAUGUGCAAGUAUGCAAGCUUUACUAUGUAAAGCACUCAAAGUACCUCAGUUGGUAGAAAGGCACUAUAUAAAUCCAAUCCAUUAUUAUUAUUAUGAUAUACUCAAACGCAUAGCUACUCCCAUUCACACCAAGACACGCACGCAUGCACGCACACACACACACACACAGCUUCAAUCCCUACUUCUCACCUCUCAACCGUCAAGUUUGAAAAGUAAAGUCAUCACGCCGAGGAGUGUUAACACAGCCAUUGUGUGUAUGCUUUACGGUCCCCUGGGACCAUGGGGGGACUCAACUGUGGGUCUUUCAGUAGGAACUCAGAAUAUGACAGGUCUGCCCUGGACUCCAAACUCCAAACAGGAGAAUAAUACACUGCUAUGACCUGCAUUAGCACUUGCAAUGAAUGGUAUGGAUGCUGGCGCAGGUUCAGCAUUGCCAUGACAAACCUGGGGAUUAGGGGUUAAAGCCUCUUCUAUGUCCUCAUAGUGUCAGCACCACAGUGGAGCUCUGAAAGGAUUGCACAACCAUGUAAUUCAUUCAAAUGUUCCUUGUUAUAUACGAAGGGUGUUAAGCUAUUGAAGAGGGUCUGAAUGCGUUGCUUAAGUCUCUAUCGGGCUAUAACUCUGGGUUAAAUUAAACUGACUUUGUGCAUUUUUGUAACAGUUAUCUUUCAUUCAUAAUAUCCCAAGAAAAUAAUGUGCUAUUUAUCUAUGUAAGAGGCUAAUGUGAUUUACAGUUUUGUCAUCUGGUCAUGUGGAGACAACGUAAUAAGUGUAUGACAAUUGAGACUUGUCUUCUAUGAAUAACCACACUUUUUUACGCAAUUUGUACAUUUUUCAAUCUUGAUAUCUAUAGACAACUCAGUAGUCUCAAUGUAAUAAUUGUCUUGCAUGUAUAGCUGUAUUGUGUAUGUACACAUGCAUUGAAGAAAUCAACUGACAACCAAUAAAUGUUGCUAAUUUUAUUUUUCAAAAGCACAACAUGAGCCAGAUUCCGAUUUAGAAAAGCUGUGUAGCAGCCUUGAAAAACGGACAUAAUCCAGGCUGUGCUUGAUUGUCACAAGUUAGCCGAUUAUCACAUUUUGUCAAAGAAAGUGUUACCUACUUGGGACCGCAUCAGUUAAAAAAAAAUGACUGUAGUCCUGUAGCUUUGAAACUGCGUUUGUUUUCUCAAUGUUCAAUGUUUACAUUUCUAUGAGAAUUCAGAUGUGAGAUUACACAACUCAAUUAAGAUGCUGCAAGUACGAACAGCUUGUGUGUUUCCUCCUGUAGACUUACAACUGCUGCUUGUUGUGAAAAGGCACAGACUAUGCCAAUAUGAGCGGAAAGGAGGCUAUUUCUGAUAUGACAAUGUAUUUCUGCUUCAUAAUUUGAUAGUACAAAGUACGACUACGUGGCCGCGCACGACUCCAAAAUCAUCAAAUUUGCUGACGACAUGAUGUUGGUUGGCGUGAUCACCGACAACGGGACUGCCUAUAAGGAGAAGGUCAGUGACCAGGCAAUGUGGUGCAGGAAACAGAGGGCGGGGCAAACACCCCCAUCCACAUCGAAGGGGUUGCAGUGGAGCGGGUCGAGAGCUUCAAGUUGCUCAGUGUCCACAUCACGACAAUGCCUCUUCCCCCUCAGGAGGCUGAAGAGAUUCGGCAUAGGCCCUCAGAUCCUCAAAGGUUCUACACCUCUUGGUAUGGCAACUGUUAGGCAUCCGACCACAAGACGCUAGAGAGGGUAGUGCAUACGGCCCAGUACAUCACUGCCAUCCAGGACCUCUACACCAGGCGGUGUCAGAGGAAAGCCCUAGAAAUUGUUAAGGACUCCAGCCACCCAAGUCAUAAACUGUUCUCUCUGCUACCACUUGACAAGCAGUACCGAUUCACCAUGUCUGGAACAGACUGGACCCUGAACAGACCCCAAGCCAUCAGACUGCUAAAGAGUUAGUUAAAUAGUUUUAAAAAAUAGCUACCCGGAUUAUCUGUAUAGACCCUUUUUGCACUAACUCUUUCCUGUAUGUACAGUAUAUAGAUAUUUUUAAAUAUAUUUUCACCUAACCCUCCCCUAAUUGUAGUAAACUAAUGGACAACAACACUUAGGUUUCUACUUCCAUACAUGCUAUAUACAUUUUACGGACACAGUAUAUUUUACAAUAGUUAUCUUCUGUUUCUUAUAAGUCCCAUCCUUCAGCUACCCUCAACCCCUCCCAUCUAUCUAUGAAGACCUUCCAGUCAAAGCCUUCAGCUACCCUCAACCCCUCCCAUCUAUCCCUGAAGACCUUCCAGUCCCAGCCUUCAGUUACCCUCAACCUCUCCCAUCUAUCCCUGAAGACCAUCCCGUUUUGAUUUCUAUUUGCCAUAUAUUUUGCAACUGUGCUGUGAUGUUUCACAAAUGUUCUGAACCUUUCUAUUCUCAUAGUUUCUACAGGUUGUACAUUUAAGAUAAACAUUUUUGCUCAGAGUAUUGUUGUAUUUUAUGAUCAAUUGACUAUGACUUUUUUAAAUCAUCCAGCAGUGCUAUUUGCAGAGUUAGCUCCAGGCAACGGUUGCAAUUCUUCAGCCAUUCCUGAACCUACGACCCCAAAAACAAGCUACAUUAUGGACAGUACCAAAACAGAUGAUCUAAUGAUUCUGUAUCUUCCCAGCAUGAUUCUGUAUCUGCAGAGCUGGGAUGGUUGUAUACCCCAUAUAUAUAACAUUCUGUUGGUGGCAAGAAUGUUGUAUAAUCAUUUAAAUUGAAAAACUCUUUCAAGAGUUGUUUCAGGCGUAAUUUUGUGUAUCAGUUCAUAAACCAUGUGCCAUGGAAUCGGUUAUUAUUUUGCAAUCUAUAUGGUACAGCUUUUUUUUUAUUUGUAUGUCCUUAAAUGAAACAGGUGUACUUUUUAAUUUGUCACAAAUUUUUUAACCGCUUUUGGUCUUUAAUGCCAGGCCGGCAUUAGUAUAUUAUCAGUUAGUAUAUUUGAGUUGAACCAUAAUAUUUGUUGUUGUAAUAUUUGUUCGGUCUUUUCUGAUGGAUUCAACUGAAAUUGCAACCAACUUUCUAUGGCUUGUUUAAAAAAAGUAGCGAUAUUUUGGAGAAUAUUUCAUUUUAAAAUAACAGAAAGUGAGAGGUCGUAAUCUGAAUAAAGGACAAAAGGCCAA